CCUGGGUGGCUGCAGGGAGGAAGAUGGGUCAAGGGGAGAGAGCCGGAACCAGCAAAGUCGCGGGAGGGAGGACUGCCCUAUGGGUUGUAAACCUCUUUUGUCGGGGAGCAAAAGCCGGACGUGUCCGGCUGUGAGAGUACCCGAAGAAAAAGCAUCGGCUAACUCCGUGCCAGCAGCCGCGGUAAUACGGAGGAUGCGAGCGUUAUCCGGAUUUAUUGGGUUUAAAGGGUGCGCAGGCGGAUUUUUAAGUCAGCGGUCAAAUCGUGGGGCUCAACCCCAUCCAGCCGUUGAAACUGGGGAUCUAGAGUGUGCGAGAGGUAUGCGGAAUGCGUGGUGUAGCGGUGAAAUGCAUAGAUAUCACGCAGAACCCCGAUUGCGAAGGCAGCAUACCGGUGCACAACUGACGCUCAGGCACGAAAGCGUGGGUAUCGAACAGGAUUAGAUACCCUGGUAGUC
rnacentral:rRNA from 1 species